UGAGUCAUGUUAACUUACAGCAUUUACAACCCAUGCUUCAUACCUAUAUAAGAGCGUUGGUACCACUAUGCACAUUCCCUUUGCCUCCAUGGGAAGAGGUAAAGGAUUAAAAUAUAUAGAAUCUAAUACAUAAUGGGAGUUGUCACAUUUGCUUUUUGCCAUUGAUGCUGUGCUUUUGAAAGAUUCUGAAGAGAAUUCACAAAGGUAUGUUAAGGAUAUGUAAAAGAAGGAAAUUAAAAAUGAACACAGGAAAGUGCAAGGUUAUAAGGGUAACAAAAAAUUUAGUUAAUAAAAGAUUGGGUAUUAGAUUGGAUAGAGGGAGUAUAGAGGAAGUAAAUGUGUUCAGAUAUUUGUGAGUGGGCUUGUCAGCAGAUGGGUCUAUGAGAGAUGAGGUGAAUCAUAGAACUGAUGAAGAGAAAAAGGUGAGUGGUGCACUGAGGAAUCUGUGGAGACAAAGAACAUUAUCCAUAGAAGUAAAAAGGGGAAUGUAUGAGAGUAUAAUGGUACCAACACUUAUAUGUGGGUUUGAAGCAUGAGUUGUAAAUGUUGUAGUGCGGAGGAGAUCGGAGGCAGUGAAAAUGUCAUAUCUGAAGGCAAUGUGUGGUGUAAAUAUUAAGCAGAGAAUUCAUAGUCUGGAGAUUAGGAGGAGGUGUAGAAUUACUAGAAGUAUUAUCCAGAGGGCUGAGGAAGGGUUGUUGAAGUGGUUUGGAUAUUUAGAGAGGAUGGAGCAAAACAGGAUGACUUGCAAAUUGUAUAAAUCUGUAGUGUAGGGAAGCCAGGGUAGGAGUCACCCUAGGAAAGGUUGGCGGGAUGGGGUAAAGGAGGUUUUAUAUGCAAGGGGUUUGAACAUCCAGCAGAUAUGUGUGAGCAUGUUAGAUAGAAGUAAAUGGAGGCAAGUAAGUUCUAUGACUUGACAUGCUGUUAGAGUGUGAGCAUGGUAACAUUUAUGAAGGGAUUCAAGAAAACUGGUUAGCCAGACUCAAGUCCUGGAGUUGGAAAGUACAAUGCCUACAUUCUGAAGGAGGGGUGGAGAUAUCUGCAGGUUGGAGGGGCAUCUAAACUGUAGUUUUGGCACACCUCUGGCAAGACAGUGAUGGAGUGAGUAAUGGUGAAAGUGUUUCUUCUUUUUCAGGUCAUCCUACCUCAGUGGGAGACGACCAGUAUGUUGAAAAAAGAAACAUUUGGAAUGUGGAGACUUUAUGCUGCUUGUUCAACUGAUAAUUCUCAAGCAGUUGUCUCUUACUGGCACUGAUAAGCAAUAGGGGUGGGAAUUCGAGUUGUUUCAUAAGGCA